CUAGCAAACAUUUCCGAUAGAGCUUCUCCAAGAUAACAUAGCAGCAGGAAGUCAUGUCCCACCAGCAGCUCCAAUAGUAGUAAACUACAUCUAAGUAAAUGUUUUGUGCUUGUAUCUGUUGCAUCAUACUACUAAUCUAUCUAAUAUCCUAUGAUUAGAGUAGACCUGUUCAUAGGUCGGGCUAGGCCAAGCUUUCCCCAAAGGUUAACACAAUUUUCUUAGGCCCAAGCAUGGCUCUUACUCAAACUUAGAGCCAGAACUUCGAUUUCAUGACCUUUUAAAUUUUUAAGUACAAAAUAUUAAAAAAGCUUUAAAAUAUUUUAAAAACCUAAAUAUGAAUAAUUAAAUAUUGAGAAAAACCUACAACAUGUUUAUUAUCUGAUUAAAUUCACGUAUCAACAGGAAUUGUCAAUUAUGUCUACACACAUCAAACAUAUAUAAAUAACACAAGAAAAUAAAUAAAAAAAAAUCAAGCUGAGCUUUAAUCCCAAAACUUGAGCCCAGCCUGUUCAUUAAGUGGGCCUAUUUUAUAGGCCUGACCCAGCCUGGCCGGUAGGCCUAAACAUUUGGCUCGAGCUUGCCUAAAUGGCUUCAGGUUCGAGCAGGCCGAGUAGGCUGUCUGACCCAUGAACAGGUGUAGAUGAGAGUAAAAAAAUCAUUAUGAUAUCAUUUAGCGAAAGUCUUAAUAGUUUUAAAAUGUGGAAAUCAUUACAAGGUAAGGCAUACACAAAGUUUAAGUUGGUAUUCCAACAAAAGCUGGGAAGAGUGAUAACUCUUGCAUUAGCAUUUAUUUGGUAUUUGAGAAGAGAGGCUGGAUACGGAGGCUUCAGGCCUACCAUCUGCCCAUGGCUUUGUAACUCAAACAACAUUAACUUCAAGAUUUCAUACAAAGAUCGCCUCCAAAUGGAUCACUCUACCAAUUAUUUGGGCUAAGGCUAGUUGGUCAUUCUCGUAUUAGCUAUUGACAAUCCUCCCUACACAUGAAAAGAUAAAUGUGAUCCACACUCUUUUAAUCUACCAAUUGACAACUAUGCAGGAUGAGUUUGGCUGGUUAAUGUCGAGGAAG
rnacentral:lncRNA from 1 species